UACGGAGGGGGCUAGCGUUGUUCGGAAUUACUGGGCGUAAAGCGCGCGUAGGCGGACCUGCAAGUCGGGGGUGAAAGCCCGAGGCUUAACUCGGAAAGGUCAACUGAUACUGCGGGGCUAGAGUGCGGAAGGGGCAACUGGAAUUCUUGGUGUAGCGGUGAAAUGCGUAGAUAUCAAGAGGAACACCUGCGGCGAAGGCGGGUUGCUGGGCCGACACUGACGCUGAGGCGCGAAAGCUAGGGGAGCGAACGGG
rnacentral:rRNA from 1 species